GAAGUCUCAGAUCAGAGAAACUCAUCCAGGCUUUAGUUUCUCUUUAGCAGCUUUGAUUCCUGCAGCAGGUCCGAACCCAACGGUCCAGAACCUGCUGGAGUUCAGCACUUUGAACGGCUUUACUGCUGAAAUGCUGUACAAUUAUAAACCUGACAGACAAUUAAACAUCAAAUCCAACAUUUUAUGAAGAGUUUUAAUGAUCCUGUUGAUGAUAAAACAUUUUAAUUUAAGGGACCGGUUCUGAUGGACCCAUCGGAUGUUUUCUGUUGGUAGAAGCAUUAAGGUUCUUUAUUCAUAUUUUAAUUGAGUUUGAUACUAAAAUCUGACUUAAUCUAGUUAAAGUACAUUUAACCCAACAUGUUGGAUGUUUGAUAUAAACUGUUGUGUUUUCCAGCAGCUCUUCAUCUUCAUCAUCACUUCCUACCAGUCUGACCCAGUAGAACCAGUCUGAGCUGAUCCACAUCAAACCAGUUUGUUCCUGAGGAAACAGAGAUUGUUGUGAUUUCAGAGACAGAGACCCAGAGGUCAGAGCUUCCUCCAUCCUGAAGGUCAAAGGUCAGAAGCUGAGCUGGAGGAUCAGACUAGAGGAGAGAAGGUCGUCACCAUGGCAAGUUUACCACAUGAAAACCAAACAUCAUCUCAGACUCCCUCACCUGCAUCACAGGAGGAAAACUCUGAAGAUGAGAAAUUAUCAGUGGCUCUGCUGAACAUUAAUGGUCUGAGAAUCAAAACUCAUGAAGUAAAACACAUUAUUGCUCGU